CCUACGGGAGGCAGCAGUGGGGAAUAUUGCACAAUGGGCGAAACCCUGAUGCAGCGACGCCGCGUGAGUGAAGAAGUAAUUCGUUAUGUAAAGCUCUAUCAGCAGGGAAGAAAAUGACGGUACCUGAGUAAGAAGCCCCGGCUAACUACGUGCCAGCAGCCGCGGUAAUACGUAGGGGGCAAGCGUUAUCCGGAUUUACUGGGUGUAAAGGGAGCGUAGACGGCAGUGCAAGUCUGGAGUGAAAGGCUGGGGCUCAACCCCCGGACUGCUUUGGAAACUGUUAGGCUGGAGUGCAGGAGAGGUAAGCGGAAUUCCUAGUGUAGCGGUGAAAUGCGUAGAUAUUAGGAGGAACACCAGUGGCGAAGGCGGCUUACUGGACUGUAACUGACAUUGAGGCUCGAAAGCGUGGGGAGCAAACAGGAUUAGAUACCCGUGUAGUC
rnacentral:rRNA from 1 species